UGGGGGUUGGGAGGGUGGGUGGGAUUUUGUAUUUGUAUUUUUAUUUAUUUUAUUUCAUUGUUUUUAAUGUGCCACAUUAUAUGUAUGAAAAGUGCUUUAAAAAUAAAGUUUAAUUGAGUUUGAUUGAUGAAUAAAGGGGGGGCCAUCUCCUCAUCUUUAAAGUGAAACACCCUGCUGUAUAUGUGGCUGUGAAAAUAUAAAUAAAGUUCCCAAUGCAUUAGAAAGAUCCUUAACACCAAAGUUGAGCCAAAAUAACUCGAGGCCAUCAGAGAUAUAUAAAUAUUUUCUCCAAGGAUGUGUCUGUAUACAGCAAAAAAAAAUUACGUUUUGUUUCAAGUUUCUCUAUUUGAUGUCUGACCACUAGAGAGCAGCACCUCACUAGUUUCCAACUAUCUUUUUUAACUGGGCUUGUGCACGCUUUAUAAAAACACAGGUGUUUGAAUUCAUAAGAGACAUGCUGAAGAUUACUCAAAGAAAUAAAAACUCCAUUAACAUUCUCUGAACACUUUUACUGACAGAAUCAAUCUGUUUUAUUUUUUGAGUUUAUCUAAAAUAUAAAUGCAUAAGUUUUCAAUAAGUCUUAUGUAAUAGCUUAUGUUUUUUCUUAUUACAACAGCUCAUUUAAAUGCAAAUAAGUGGUAAGAAAAGGGACCUGCUUUGAAAUAAGGUGAUGUGUAGCAUACUAAAUUUAUUGUGUCAGGCGAAAGCAGACACUGAAUUUCUUGUGUGACAUUUUCAAAGCCACUCAGAGAUCAGAGCUAACCAAUUAAAGAUGUUAUUCCUCAGCUGUGUCUGAACACACACGCCUACCUUACUGCCACCAUGAAUCACGUCACUUUGAUGUCAUGUGAAAUUGAUGAGUCCUGGAUGAAUAAAAAAGCUAAUGUUCCCCACCUUCAUUUUGCGUCUUUUGUGGCAUGCAGCACAUCUGAGUUUCAAUUUCAUGAUCUUCAUCCCAUUUCUAUAAAUGAGAAAAUUCUCAUUCAUCUCACACAUGGGGCACAUCUUGUGUUUUGUUCGAUUACUCCUCACUUCUUGCGGACAUCUCUUGUUUCGUUUCAUGUUGCAACCUCAAACGGGCUUUUCAUUAAUCUAACUCAUUUCACACCUCAUGCUCUGUAUCACCACAGACACCUCUCUUACAAAAGGUAGCUGCAGGGUUCUGGCCAGUGUACUUCUUUCCUCCAUUUAAUUACACUGUUACACAAUUUCUUACUGGCUGUCUGGAUUCAAAUGGGCAGACUUUGCAAGAACAGAAUCUCACCUUUUUUAAUGUGAAGGCUCAUUUAUUGCAGCAGCCAGUCUGGUUUUAUUUUUAACAGCAUCUCUUAUGCACAGCAGAGGUCAUGCAGAAUAAAUGUGGAUCCAUCACUUUGUGUUUAACCUCACACAUGUGCGUUUUACAUGGACUGAGGGUCUAUUUAUGCAAAAGUAAAGCAACAGAAUCAAAAGUAAGUUUGAAGCUUUGCAUGAGUUAACUUCACAGACUUGGCUGCUCCAUGCGGUCUGAUGGUGGAUUUAACAUCAGUAUUACACAUGCCUUUGACAGUUAAUAACUGAUUAGACAAGGGCUCCUCUGUGAAGUUUGUGAUGUGUGUGUGUGACUGUGGUCGUGUGGGAUUAAAGGGGUAUUUCAGCAUUUUUUGAGUGUGGUUAUAGAGUUGCAUGUCACUAUAGGUGGGCUAGCCACAACGGUUGCUGGUCUGCUUAGUCCUUGUAAUAGAGAUGGGCACUGCAGUUUUUUUAGAUGUACUGAAUCACUAGAAUCAGUUCACUAAAAAGAUUUGUUCAAAAGAUUCAUUCGCCAAAUCACUGAAUCAUGUAGUGCCUGGCAAGAGGCCUGCAACUCCGACCUCCUGAACUGAUACACAGCUGAACGUUCAGGAUUCCGCUUCUGAGACCGAGAGACGGGAGUUUUGGGCUGUCGCUUUGGCAAACAGGUUUGUAAAAGUGAAUUUGUUUAUAAGUCAUGAUUUUUUAAGUGUACUGUACUACGGUAUGCUAUUUAUCAGGUCUGCUCGGUGAAUUGGGCUCAGUGAGUGAUUCGUUUGAUUAAUUGUAUUUUCGAUUUUAUGUUUUUUCUAGUCAUGUUUUUCUUCAUUUUGAUUAUUGUGCUCAAGUGUUUUUUUUAUGCUCCCUUUGUUGCAAAACCAAUUGCCCCAUUGGGGGACGAAUAAAGUUAUUGAUCGAUUCAUUGGAAAAGAAGUCUGUCGCUUAAUUUAUUUUAUUUUAUCAUUUUUAAUCAAAUUUUUGUUCUCUCUUUUGCUGAAUUAUUGUUAUACAUUGUCAUAUCUAUGGCUUUGCUGCAUUACUACUAUGUAUGAAAUGUGAACUGGAAAUGCUGAAUUUUGUUGUUAAUAUCAUUUUUAAUUAAGUUGUGAAAAAACUAGAAAAAGAUAUCCUUGUCCCAAACGGCCAAACGAGCUCAGAUUCUUUUUGUUAGUUGAUAGUUUUUCUCCAGUUUUUGUUAUUUACCGUUGUUGCACCCCGAGGAGGUAAUCAUUCUUUGUUAUAUAAUCAUCCUGUUUUUCUUUUUUGGUAAAUAAAUUACUCCUUUGUAAAAACUUAGAAAGCUUUUUACGUGGCUGUUUGGGAGGUGGGUGAAAUGGGUCCACUUUCAUUUUGUUUUCUUUGCUUCUUCUAGAUGGGUCAUAGUAACAGAAACCCAUGCCAAAAAUAGUGAAACACCCCUUUAAGUUCAGAUGUGUGACCAAAUAUGAUCAUCUGCUUCAGCCCUGAGGAAAAUGUGCCAGCUCAUGCAUCCAGCUGUCUGCCCCAUUGCUUUUAACCUUAGUGCCGCCAUGUCUAAUAUUCACUUUUAAUGAUAACAGGAUAUGAGGAGCAGGUGUCUGAUGAUUGAUUGCAGUGAUUUUCCAAGGACUUAACCUCACCUAUUGUGAGGAAAACCAGACGUAUUAAAUCGUGGUUUGAAUAAAGCUGUGUGGGGCCGAUGACCAUGACUACUGCGAUUCAAAAGAUAUGUUGUGAAUUAGAAGGAUUUCAAAAAUGCCAUAUCAAGCGGUGAGAGUUGACAGCUCGGAGAAAAGCAGGGUGGUUGAAAUUCGAGACAAAUUGGGUUCUUUUCACUUGCUAUUGAGAUAAGCAGGCAGCAGGAUAGAUUAAAAUUAAUAACUUCAGGGGAGAGAGCAAAGCGAGGGCAGAAAUGUGGAAGUCAGAACAGAUUUUUAUGAGCUCAUUUGUCACUGCGAAGUCAAAACUCAAGAUCAGAGAAAUGUGUGGAAAUACAAAUAAAGAGCUGAUAGAAAAGGUGCAAGGCGAUUGAAAUCUAAUACAGGAUAUCUAAAAGGCAACAACUAAUACUUAAAAUAAAAAAACCUCUCCUUAGUCAAAGGAAGGCUUAUCUUCAGUCUGCAGGUAUUCUCACAAAUCUUCCUCUCCUUGUAUCAAACCCACAUCUCUCCAAAUCUCCUACUCCUCUAACUGAAGGGUUGUGGUGCCUUUCUUCUGAAUGCCUCUCUCUCAGAUGGCCUCGUCUGUCUACCAGACGUUGUUAGUCAGCUCAGCUUUCAUGGAGGUUUUUUUUUUCUUUCUGAGUUUUUGUACUGGAUGAAAAGCUCAUUUUGUGGCUUUGGAUCAAAUUUUGAGUCUCUAUUUUAUAUGAAUGACUCAUUGACGGAGAAUUCAAAGCACUGAUUUGACGUCAAUGCUAACCCCAGGACGCCAUCAGACUCAUUGUUUCUUCUUUAAAAUGCGAGGAGGAUUCAUUGUCUUAUUCUCUGUGGAAUAAUAAACAUGUUUUCACUAAUUGUUUGUCUACAGUAGCUGAAUAAAACACCGUCUGUAGACUAAAAUCACAAACGUAUAACUUUUUAUUGAGCAAUAAAAUUAAUUUGCCACUUCUUAGACUUUUGGAUUUAAAGUAAGAACUAUUCAUUACAACCUACUUAUUAUUCUUGCUUAUUACCCGAGUGUGUUAAAUACUUGAUUCUGAUUGGUCAACACCAUAGACUCUGUAUACUAUGGACAACUUGGUUCCGCCUCCCGCCUGUAUACGUAUUUGAGGCCAAAAAGCUCUCGGUAUUUUUCUUCACUUCCUGAAACCAGCGCUGCGCAGUAGCGUUGUGCGCAUUCGGCUGGAGAGUCGCCAAGAGUCGCUGUGAUGACGCUCGGCUCAAACAGCGUAUCC